GACGAACGCUGGCGGCGUGCUUAACACAUGCAAGUCGAACGAAGUGGCGAACGGGUGAGUAACGCGUAAUCAACCUGCCCUUCAGGGGGGGACAACAGUUGGAAACGACUGCUAAUACCGCAUACUGAAGGAGGGGCUUGCGUCGGAUUAGCUAGUUGGGUGGGUAACGGCCCACCAAGGCGAUGAUCAGUAGCCGGUCUGGAGGGAAGAACGGGCACAUUGGGACUGGGAAACGGCCCAGACUCCUACGGGGGGCAGCAGUGGGGGAUCUUCCGAAAUGGACGAAAGUCUGACGGAGCAACGCCGCGUGAGUGAUGACGGCCUUCGGGUUGUAAAGCUCUGUUAAUCGGGACGCGGUACCGGAAUAGAAAGCCACGGCUAACUACGUGCCAGCCGCCGCGGUAAUUC
rnacentral:rRNA from 1 species